rnacentral:rRNA from 1 species
GCGUUGUCCGGAAUUAUUGGGCGUAAAGCGCGCGMAGGCGGUUMMUUAAGUCUGAUGUGAAAGCCCCCGGCUNAACCGGGGAGGGUUMUUGGAAACUGGGGAACUUGAGUGCAGAAGAGAAGAGUGGAAUUCCACGUGUAGCGGUGAAAUGCGUAGAGAUGUGGAGGAACACCAGUGGCGAAGGCGACUCUUUGGUCUGUAACUGUAGCAGAGGCGCGAAAGCGUGGGGAGCAAACAGGAUUAGWUACCCUGGUAGUCCNCGCCGUAAACGAUGAGUGCUAAGUGUUAGAGGGUUUCCGCCCUUUAGUGCWGCAGCAAACGCAUUAAGCACUCCGCCUGGGGNGUNCGGCCGCAAGGCANAAACUCAAAGGAAUUGWCGGNGGCCCGCACAAGCGGUGGAGCAUGUG